rnacentral:rRNA from 1 species
GAUGAACGCUGGCGGCGUGCCUAAUACAUGCAAGUCGAGCGAAUGGAUUAAGAGCUUGCUCUUAUGAAGUUAGCGGCGGACGGGUGAGUAACACGUGGGGAACAUGCCCAUAAGACUGGGAUAACUCCGGGAAAUCGGGGCUAAUACCGGAUAACAUUUUGAACCGCAUGGUUCGAAAUUGAAAGGAGGCUUCGGCUGUCACUUAUGGAUGGACCCGCGUCGCAUUAGCUAGUUGGUUAGGUAACGGCUCACCAAGGCAACGAUGCGUAGCCGACCUGAGAGGGUGAUCGGCCACACUGGGACUGAGACACGGCCCAGACUCCUACGGGAGGCAGCAGUAGGGAAUCUUCCGCAAUGGACGAAAGUCUGACGGAGCAACGCCGCGUGAGUGAUGAAGGCUUUCGGGUCGUAAAACUCUGUUGUUAGGGAAGAACAAGUGCUAGUUGAAUAAGCUGGCACCUUGACGGUACCUAACCAGAAAGCCACGGCUAACUACGUGCCAGCCGCCGCCGUAA